UAAGUUUAAAUAUAAGUGUCUAUUUUGAAAAUAGAAAAAGGGAUUGCCCAAUUUAC
rnacentral:tRNA from 1 species